rnacentral:lncRNA from 1 species
GCAUAUACAUUUAAGGGGGAGCAAUUUGUAACAAUGAAAAUGAUCAAAUCUAAAAUUUCUAUUAAAUUUCAGAAUUUGGCACAUAGAAUUUCAGAAUUUGGCACGCACCUUUCACACCUCGAUACAUAACCUGAAACUCAUGCUUUAUCUCAAAUUUUUGGAGUUUUAUCUUUAAUGAAAUAUAAAUGAAAGGGGGAGCAAUUCAAAAAGUCAAAUUGGAAACAUUUGAAUGAUAUAGGGGGAGACUUCACUCUCAUAUUUGAAAAGCUGAAAUUCAGCAACUUGAGCCCUUUUAAAACUAAUUUUAAGAUAAGUAUCAAUAGGCUCAUACUCUUUAUUUUGUAAUCAUCAAAAAGGGAGAGAUUGAGGAUGAUAGUGUUAUUUUGAUGAUUAACAAGCAAUAAUCAAGAGUAUGUUAUAAGUUAAUUCGAUACUUCAUUUAUAAGUCUGUUACUCUCAGUAUAUUUGUAUAAUAAGUUAAAGAUGCAUUUCAUUGUUUACUUGGAUGAAUCUAACCUUGAGUUGUAGCAAAGUGUGGAUUGAGUCGACCCAAAGGAUGAUUGGGUCGACCCCGGCACAUCAAGAAAGCAUUUGGCACACUUCUGCAAAAAUGGCACAGAUGAACA